GAUAUAUCAAGAACUAUGUAAUGUUUUGAACAGCCAACAAUAAAAAAUUAAAAAAAAAAUAAAAAAAUAAAAGUAACCCUCACCCUAAGCCUAAACUGCAACCUAACACUAGCCCUAACCCUGAUAAUAAUCUAUAAUCUAGCCGUAACCGUACCCUAGCCCUAAAACAAAACCAGUGUAUAUCCCUAAACUUUAACCAAAACAAAACCCUAACCAUACAACUACUAACUAAAUUUAGCCAUAAUUCGAGUUCUAACCCUAACCCGAAAACUAACCCUGAAUCUGACACUGACCCUAACAAUAACCCUUACUCUAAACAUCACCCUAACCCUAAACCUAACUGUAACACUAGACCAAGCCCUAACCCUAACCCUAAAACUAGCAGUAAUUGCAACACUAGUUCAUACAUUACCAUAGUCCAAUCCUAGCCCUAACCAAACCCAAAAUCAAGCCCUAAUCUGAGCCUUAACCCUAGCUUUAAAUGUAACCCUAAACCUAACCCUAACCUAGAACAUAGUUCUAAACUUUACCCUAACAAUAGCCAGAAUUCUAACCAUAACCGUAGCCCUAUCACUAUCUCUAACAGUACCCAUUACCCUAAUCAUAACCAUAACUCUAAUUGUAACCCUAGGCCUAACCCUAAACUUAUCCCUAACCCUAACAUAUUUCAUUAACCUAAACCUAAACUGAACCCUAAACCUAAAACUAACAUUACCCUAACUCUAACCCUAAUGCUAAUUCAAGCCUUAAAUCUAAACCUUAACCCAACCCAAACCCUAACUCUGCCCCUUCCCAUGAUAAUAUACCCAGCUCUAACCCUGAACCUACCACUAAACCUAAUCUUUAUACUAGACCUAGCCAUAAACCUAACCCUAAAACUAUCACUAGCCCAAAUCCUAGACCUGACAUUUGCCCUAGCCAUAAUUCUAGCCCUAAAGUUAACACAAAACAAACCCAUAACACUAACAUUUACCCUAGCCCUAAAAAAAAAAAAAUAUUUCAAAGGUUCUGCUAUUCUGUUCUUUUUUUUUUUCAAUUUAGAUUGGAUAUUCUCUGUUCACUGACUUUUUUUAUCUCAACACCUGUAAAAAGCCUAAGAAUUUUACCCUCCUUGUAAGCUGACAAUUUAAUCUGUUUUAUGGUGGCUGGGAGAAAACACGAUAAAGGAUUUUAUUACUCAAAGCAUAGCAAGAAACAUAAGCAUAUGUUUGUGACAGUUUCCCUGCCCCUCAUAUUCCAAUAAGGUGAGGUAGAUUGGCCCAGGUGGAUUCUGUACCUUUGUUUGUUAGCCAUAAGCUGAGGAACCCUUAUGCUAAAUUAUUUGUAAUAGGCCAUAAUCCUGCCUGUUCUUAGUGCUGGUGAAUACAUCAUCUUUAUUAAUACUACCCAGUAAACAAACCUGGUCUUUGCUUUGAAGAGACUCUUACCUCUCUCUUCCAAGGUUGUUUACUAUACAAUCUUUCAAGAAAACAUAGUCCAAAACAAGAGAACAAAUUCCUUUGUUUGCAAUAUGUACAGAAACUUGAGACACCCUGGAAAUUCUGGCAGACUGCUUUGAGUCUAUUCUACUAUUCUACAAAUAUGCAGCUUGGAGGUAAACCCAUGAUUUAUGUAGGUUCAUUCAUAGAAUUAGGGGGAUCUUCUCCAGGAUAUCCCUUCCACCCACUGCCACCUCACUCUUUACUUCUUAGAGAUCUCUCUUCUUAGUUCUUCUGGCCAGAAACAAAACUUCUGUCAGAGUUUUAGCUACCUGCACUGUCACAUACUUGUUGAGCUUGGGUUAGCCUUGCAGGAAAGCAGAUCAAAGAAAGGAAAAAGAAUACCAAUGAGGAUUUCUGCCACUUCUCAGUAUUGGGUUUUUUUCCUAAUUCACUUGGCUGAAGAAUUAGAUUUUCUCUUAGGUUUUUCUAUGUUAGCAUUAUUGUCACUGCUAAUGUCAUGAGGCUGACACUAUAUCUGCCUUAGGUCAGUGCCAGGAAAGAAAAUGGGGGCAAAGAAAUAAAAGAGUUUCCCAUUCAUAUUCUAUAGGUUAUAGGGGCCCUCAUGUUAUGGCCAGAAAUACAAAGAGUUUUUCUUGGAGUCAUUACUGCUCAUAUCUAUAUAAAGUUUUCCAAUUGGCAGUAUCCUCAGGAAAAUCCAAAACAGAAAUCAAGAAAAAAAUUGAAAAACUGACCCUUUUAAGAAUAAUUUUUCACGUUUUAGCUCAUUCCUGAGUCUGACUGCUAUUAUUUAUUUUUAUAUUAUUGGUUUUUGUAUUCUAUUCAGAGUUCUUACUGUUAAUCUGUAAGGGAGAGAAAGACUAUAAUGAGUUUCUUUGGUCUUGAUUGGAAUCCACAGCAUCACUUUUUAGUUUAAGAGAUAUUAGCAAAAACCUUAAAAUUUUGUAUUAAAACUUUUCUGUACACUACGAGGUGACGCUAUAAGGGAAGAAAAUAUACACAUUCACUAAGAAUACUGCUGACUACUCAAUUAUGUAUCUUGGACAACUGUAGUUUUGAUGGAACAGAACCUCAGCUCCAGACAAAGAAGCCAUCAGUGUUCCCUUUCACCAUUGCUUUUUCCUCCCACAGUUUUAUCCACCUACUGGAGAAUAGCUCUUCUUGUACUCACUAGGAACCUAGAAAAGGCAUGGGGAAGCAGGGACAGAAAUAAGUAAGUCUUCAAAGCUUUUACUGAGUCACUGACCAUGGCUGUGUCCUGAGCAGUAGAAAACAGCCUUCUGCACUGUUAACAAUGGACAGACACCAAAGGGAAAGUAGGCCUUUCCAUAGCCUUUACUACAGUUGCCCACCACCCACACCAUUCCUAUCCCACACUUCACUCUUAGGUUCUACACUAUGAGACAAAAGGGUUGCUUUAUGUUAUAUCUAUUUUAAACAACUAAAGAAGAAAAUGUUCACUCAGUUAUUAAGAUUUUUGCCAUUUAUAGUUUGCU
rnacentral:lncRNA from 1 species